GAAAUGCGUAAAGAUCUGAAGGAAUACCGGUGGCGAAGGCGGCCCCCUGGACAAAGACUGACGCUCAAAUGCGAAAGCGGGGGGAGCAAACAGGAUUAGAUACCCUGGAAGUCCACGCCGUAAACGAUGUCUACUUGGAGGUUGGUGUCUUGAACACUGGCUUUCGGAGCUAACGCGUUAAGUAAACCGCCUGGGAAGUACGGUCGCAAGAUUAAAACUCAAAUGAAUUGACGGGGGCCCGCACAAGCGGUGGAGCAUGUGGUUUAAUUCGAUGCAACGCGAAAAACCUUACCUACUCUUGACAUCCACGGAAUCCUGCAAAAAUGCGGGAGUGCCUUCGGGAACCGUGAGACAGGUGCUGCAUGGCUGUCGUCAGCUCGGGUUGUGAAAUGUUGGGUUAAGUCCCGCAACGAGCGC
rnacentral:rRNA from 1 species